AUUGAACAUAAGAGUUUGAUCCUGGCUCAGAUUGAACGCUGGCGGCAUGCUUUACACAUGCAAGUCGGACGGCAGCACGGGGAAGCUUGCUUCUCGGGUGGCGAGUGGCGAACGGGUGAGUAACAUAUCGGAACGUACCGGGUAGCGGGGGAUAACUGAUCGAAAGAUCAGCUAAUACCGCAUACGUCUUGAGAGGGAAAGCAGGGGACCUUCGGGCCUUGCGCUAUCCGAGCGGCCGAUAUCUGAUUAGCUGGUUGGCGGGGUAAAGGCCCACCAAGGCGACGAUCAGUAGCGGGUCUGAGAGGAUGAUCCGCCACACUGGGACUGAGACACGGCCCAGACUCCUACGGGAGGCAGCAGUGGGGAAUUUUGGACAAUGGGCGCAAGCCUGAUCCAGCCAUGCCGCGUGUCUGAAGAAGGCCUUCGGGUUGUAAAGGACUUUUGUCAGGGAAGAAAAGGCCGUUGCCAAUAUCGGCGGCCGAUGACGGUACCUGAAGAAUAAGCACCGGCUAACUACGUGCCAGCAGCCGCGGUAAUACGUAGGGUGCGAGCGUUAAUCGGAAUUACUGGGCGUAAAGCGGGCGCAGACGGUUACUUAAGCAGGAUGUGAAAUCCCCGGGCUCAACCCGGGAACUGCGUUCUGAACUGGGUGACUCGAGUGUGUCAGAGGGAGGUGGAAUUCCACGUGUAGCAGUGAAAUGCGUAGAGAUGUGGAGGAAUACCGAUGGCGAAGGCAGCCUCCUGGGAUAACACUGACGUUCAUGUCCGAAAGCGUGGGUAGCAAACAGGAUUAGAUACCCUGGUAGUCCACGCCCUAAACGAUGUCAAUUAGCUGUUGGGCAACUUGAUUGCUUGGUAGCGUAGCUAACGCGUGAAAUUGACCGCCUGGGGAGUACGGUCGCAAGAUUAAAACUCAAAGGAAUUGACGGGGACCCGCACAAGCGGUGGAUGAUGUGGAUUAAUUCGAUGCAACGCGAAGAACCUUACCUGGUUUUGACAUGUGCGGAAUCCUCCGGAGACGGAGGAGUGCCUUCGGGAGCCGUAACACAGGUGCUGCAUGGCUGUCGUCAGCUCGUGUCGUGAGAUGUUGGGUUAAGUCCCGCAACGAGCGCAACCCUUGUCAUUAGUUGCCAUCAUUCGGUUGGGCACUCUAAUGAGACUGCCGGUGACAAGCCGGAGGAAGGUGGGGAUGACGUCAAGUCCUCAUGGCCCUUAUGACCAGGGCUUCACACGUCAUACAAUGGUCGGUACAGAGGGUAGCCAAGCCGCGAGGCGGAGCCAAUCUCACAAAACCGAUCGUAGUCCGGAUUGCACUCUGCAACUCGAGUGCAUGAAGUCGGAAUCGCUAGUAAUCGCAGGUCAGCAUACUGCGGUGAAUACGUUCCCGGGUCUUGUACACACCGCCCGUCACACCAUGGGAGUGGGGGAUACCAGAAGUAGGUAGGGUAACCGCAAGGAGUCCGCUUACCACGGUAUGCUUCAUGACUGGGGUGAAGUCGUAACAAGGUAGCCGUAGGGGAACCUGCGGCUGGAUCACCUCCUUUCUAG
rnacentral:rRNA from 1 species